UGAGUACGAGCUGCUACGGCAGCGAAGUGGGUGACGUCAAGCUUCCAAGAAAAGCCCUACACCCGUUAAGGCAUGAUGGCCUGUACCCGAAACCGACACAGGUAGGAUGGUAGAGAAUACCGAGGGGCGCGAGGUAACUCUCUCUAAGGAACUCAGCAAAAUGGCCCCGUAACUUCGGGAGAAGGGGUGCCACCGCAAGGUGGUCGCAGUGAAGAGGCCCAGGCGACUGUUUACCAAAAGCACAGGUCUCCGCUAAGUCGCAAGACGAUGUAUGGGGGCUGACGCCUGCCCAGUGCCGGAAGGUUAAGGAAGCUGGUCAGCGCAAGCGAAGCUAGCGACUGAAGCCCCGGUGAACGGCGGCCGUAACUAUAACGGUCCUAAGGUAGCGAAAUUCCUUGUCGGGUAAGUUCCGACCCGCACGAAAGGCGUAACGAUCUGGGCGCUGUCUCGGAGAGAGGCUCGGCGAAAUAGAAUUGUCUGUGAAGAUGCGGACUACGUGCACCCGGACAGAAAGACCCUAUGAAGCUUUACUGUAGCUUGGUAUUGUGCCCGGGCUCUGAAUGCGCAGGAUAGGUGGGAGGCUUUGAUCAACAGCUUGCGGGUUGUUGUGAGCCAACGGUGAGAUACCACUCUUUCAGAGCUAGGGUUCUAACGGUCACCCGUUAUCCGGGGACCGGACAGUAUCAGGUGGGCAGUUUGACUGGGGCGGUCGCCUCCUAAAAGGUAACGGAGGCGCGCAAAGGUUUGCUCAGGCUGGUUGGAAAUCAGCCGACGAGUGUAAAAGCAGAAGCAAGCUUGACUGUGAGACCUACAAGUCGAACAGGAACGAAAGUCGGCUUUAGUGAUCCGACGGUUCUGAGUGGAAGGGCCGUCGCUCAACGGAUAAAAGUUACUCUAGGAUAACAGGCUGAUCUCCCCCAAGAGUUCACAUCGACGGGGAGGUUUGGCACCUCGAUGUCGGCUCAUCGCAACCUGGGGCUGAAGUCGGUCCCAAGGGUUGGGCUGUUCGCCCAUUAAAGCGGUACGCGAGCUGGGUUCAGAACGUCGUGAGACAGUUCGGUCCAUAUCCGGUGCAUGCGCAGGAAUAUUGAGAGGAGUUCUCCCUAGUACGAGAGGACCGGGAGGAACGCACCUCUGGUGUACCAGUUAUCGUGCCAACGGUAAACGCUGGGUAGCCAUGUGCGGAGAGGAUAACCGCUGAAAGCAUCUAAGUGGGAAGCCCACCUCAAGAUGAGUAUUCCCAUGGCAUAAGCCAGUAAGGUCACGGGAAGAACACCCGUUGAUAGGCUCUACGUGGAAGCGCAGUAAUGCGUGAAGCGGAGGAGUACUAAUAGACCGAGGGCUUGACC
rnacentral:rRNA from 1 species